CACGAAAUAUCCAAAUGUUUUGCACAAUAAACUAUCUAUGCUACCUGCUGCAUGUGAAGCUUGAAGCUUUGCGUGGCAUAGAGAUGUGUUUACUCACAUUUUCAAGCAGAUGUUACAUUUGAUUAACUUGUUAUGAAAAAAACCA
rnacentral:misc_RNA from 1 species